rnacentral:rRNA from 1 species
UACGUAGGUGGCAAGCGUUGUCCGGAUUUAUUGGGCUUAAAGGGUGCGUAGGCGGUCUUAUAAGUCAGUUGUGAAAUAUGGCAGCUUAACUGUCAAGGUGCAAUUGAUACUGUAAGACUUGAGUACUGUUGAGGUAGGCGGAAUGGACGGUGUAGCGGUGAAAUGCUUAGAGAUCGUCCAGAACACCGAUAGCGAAGGCAGCUUACUAAAGAGUAACUGACGCUGAGGCACGAAAGUGUGGGGAUCAAACAGG